rnacentral:lncRNA from 1 species
AUGGGGAAGAGAAAGUCGUCGUCGAAGGCAAAGCUUGUAGCUAAGAAGCCAAGGGAGAAGCUUGAUACAGUAUUCUGUUGCCCCUUCUGCAACCACGGGAGCAGCGUCGAUUGUGACAUUGACAUGAAGAACAUGAUUGGAGAGGCUCUCUGCAGCAUUUGCCAAGAGAGCUUCAGCACAACCAUCACAGCUUUGACUGAACCCAUAGACGUCUACAGUGAAUGGAUAGACGAAUGUGAGCGGGUCAACACCAUUGUUUUUGAUGAUCUAGCUUAG